rnacentral:lncRNA from 1 species
CUGUAUAUAAGAUAAACAACUCUUUACAUUUAUUUAAAUGAAAUUUGCAGCAUAAUGUUUCCGCAGCCUGCUCCCAACCUCUUUGCAUAUGUAGAGUACCAAAAUCGUGUACCAACAUGCAUUGUAACUGCCUCAGAACCCACCAGUAUUGCUUUCUUUUGCUCAAAUAUAGCCACGACAAAUUUCAGCACUUGAUAUCCAUUUCAGAACUUUUUACCAAUCAUAUUAAUCCCAAGUUCAUGGCUAUUAAAGUUACCACACAAAUAUUCUACAAAAGCCAAUAGUGUGUUAGCCAGGAACCAAGAAACACAAAUAAUAAUGGAUAAACUGACAAAACAAUCCGCAAACUUUAAAAAGACACUAAUCUACAAUUUUAAUUCUAUAUCUUAAUGACUCACUUGAUCAAAUAUAUUAUAACUUAUAUAAGGAUGCAAAAAGGAUUGGAAUUAUAGAGGGACCAGUAAUAAGUAAUGCAUGGAAUGAUUUUCAUAUCUAAUUUUAGGGACAAAGAGUAGAUACAAUGAAUCUGUCUCUGGCUUAGGUAUAAAUGGUCAAGCACUGGUUUUACGACAGUCUCUGGUCCUGGAAAUGGAUCAGCUGCUGUCCCCAGACCCAAAACAGGCAUGCUUUUCGCAUUCCUGGAACUCGGAGUAACUUGUGGAAUGCUCAUUUUUCAGUUGGUGUUACCUUCCAUCCAGGCGGAUUCUCUUUUGGAAGAUCUUUAAGAGUAACACCUUGGAGUUGAGAGACAAAAUGAAAUUCAUCACAUUACAAUUAUGACCAAAUUAUGAUUAUUAGGCUUAAAAUCAUAAUACGAUGAUAUGAAAGUAUGAAAAGUGAAAGAAUGAAAAUCAUAACUUUUCUGGAAUCCUAUUACAAUUAUGACCAAAUUAUGACCAUAGAUCGUAUUACUAAUACGAUGAUAUGAAAGUAUGAAAAGUGAAAGAAUGAAAAUCAUAACUUUUCUGGAAUCCCAUUACAAUUAUGACCAAAUUAUGAUUAUUCAUAUUCUGGUUGAGAUUACUAUCUCAAGAUUAAAUGUGUAUCAUGUUCAGAAGAUAGUGAAAUCUGGUUAGAUAUUGCAGGUCUCUUGAUAGCUACAAAAUCAAAGGAAGUAUUCGAGUUGGAUUAGACAUCAGCGUCUAAUCGCAGAACCUAACAUCACACUAAUAUGCAAAGAAUGUGAAAGCGAGGAAAUGUACAGAGCUAUUAAUAUUUGUACCUGAACCUUGUGUGGAGUGGGAAAGUUGUUGGCAAAUCUUAUCAGCACGAGUUGGAGUUUCAAAACGCGAAACUGGCACUGACCUGUUAGAUGCUGCAAGUAACAAAAUUUAAGCUAAAUGAGGUGAUGUUGGGGGUGUAAAAACACGAUGAAAACAGAAUCGGAGAGGACUUGGAAUUCAGACCAAGACACUGGUAAAAACUAUCUUGAAUAGGAUUUGAAGUAGUAGCUGAAGCUGAGAUCAGAAUGAGAACACAUGAAAGUGUGACAGAUAGUACAGAAGCCAGUGCUCACUUGUGUCUCUGUCUAGUGCUUCAAAGGAAUGAAAAUGUGUUCUCUAUU